UAUAAAUAGACAAUUUUUCCCUUAAUUUUUUUCUCCCCUCUUCCUGCAUUUUUGGGUUGACUUUUUGGUCUAGAAUUGGAGAAAAGGGAUCAAAUUUGCAAUUUCAUAGCAGUUUUGGGUAAUACUGAUGAUAUUACAGCGGAGGGAUAGGGGGUGUAAAGUGUCUUUCUGCAGAGCAGUCAUUGUGUCGGAAGUGAGAUUUUCACCCCAGUCAACUUCAAAUCCGUGUAGCAAAAAAUCUAAAUGGUCAACCCCCUACAAAAUUAUGAUGAGGAGAUUGCCAAAUGUUGUCCCCAUUGUGCCUAUAAAGAUUGGAACCAACGGAAUGUUGAGAAAAAAGCUACAGCCUGUGAUGUUACAGCCAUUUAACAUUGAAGUCAAUGGGCAAAUAAUUGCUAGUCUGAGUCCUGAUGAGAUAAAGAAACAUGGCCGACUCGGGAUGUUGAUAUUUUUUCAAGGGCUUAUUUCCUGAAGUUUUGAAUGGAAAGUGUUAGAAAUAGUAAGAAUACUGCUUUUUUAUUGCCCAGCAGUGCCAGGGCAAUGUUUCAUAGAGUGGAAUGAUUGACCUCAACACAAGUAUUAAAAAAAAAGAAGCAAAACAGGUCUACAUCUCAAAACCUGAUCUCUUCCUGGACUGGCUUUAGGAGAACGAUGAUGCAUAUCAAUUUCAUCCCUGAUCUCUAUGACACCUGUGGUGGAAGUGGAGGGCAAAUCGUAAUCAGUUUGGGACCUCUGUAAACUUUGCUUUUUGGUGAUGACUUAAUUUCCGAGCUUGAAAAGGACGCUUGUGUGUUUAUCAUGGCCUCUCAUAUUGGAAGAUAACAUUAAUGGCUUGUGUGUUGAUCGACGGUUGUGCAUAUCUCUUGGUCAGGAAAGUUGUAGGCACCAUCGCCAUUGUAAAUCAUUUGACAGGCUCGAGUGAACGGGGCGACCUAUGAUUGGUCAGCAAUGUAUCAGAUUCCAUACCGGGGGGUGGGGAUGAAAAAACUGUUGUAGUGUUACAUAAUCAGAUUAUUUCAACUUACUUAUCCUGUGGAAAUACAGCUAUAUAGGAGAUAUUUUGAAAUUCAUAGGCACUGCAUGUUUCAACAUUUUAGAUUUGACCACAAUUUGGCACUUAAAACUAUGUUAACAGAGAAAAACUGUGUGGUUUUCGAUGAAAGUGUUAAAAGUCUAAUAUUGCAUCAUGAUUACUGUUUUAAAGUAUUUUCGUGUUUGAUUUAUAUUGAAUUCAUCUCAUCUUUUUGAAGAAUGCAUUUAUGUUCAAAAAUAAAAAUGUUCUGUGGAAUUCAAAAUUCAUGUGCUUUUAAAUUAUCAGAUUCCAAACUGGGGGGUAGGGAUGAAAAAGCUGUUGUAGUGUUACAUAAUCAGAUUAUUUCAACUUACUUAUCCUAUGGAAAUACAGCUAUAUAGGAGAUAUUUUAAAAUUGAUAGGCACUGCAUGUUUCAACAUUUUAGAUUUGACCACAAUUUGGCACUUG